ACGGAGGGUGCUAGCGUUGUUCGGAAUUACUGGGCGUAAAGCGUGCGUAGGCGGCCCAUUAAGUCAGACGUGAAAGCCCCGAGCUCAACUUGGGAAUUGCGUUUGAUACUGGUGGGCUAGAGUUCUAGAGAGGUAAGUGGAAUUCCUAGUGUAGAGGUGAAAUUCGUAGAUAUUAGGAGGAACACCAGAGGCGAAGGCGGCUUACUGGCUAGACACUGACGCUGAGGUACGAAAGCGUGGGGAGCAAACAGG
rnacentral:rRNA from 1 species